rnacentral:rRNA from 1 species
AGAGUUAGGAAUACCCGAAGCCUGUGAGCCAACUUGUAAAGAGGCGAGCAGUCGAAGGUAGAACUAAUGAUUGGGGUGAAGUCGUAACAAGGUACC